UGGGGAAUAUUGCACAAUGGGCGCAAGCCUGAUGCAGCCAUGCCGCGUGUGUGAAGAAGGCCUCGGGUUGUAAGCACUUUCAGCGAGGAGGAAGGUGGUGAGCUUAAUACGCUCAUCAAUUGACGUUACUCGCAGAAGAAGCACCGGCUAACUCCGUGCCAGCAGCCGCGGUAAUACGGAGGGUGCAAGCGUUAAUCGGAAUUACUGGGCGUAAAGCGCACGCAGGCGGUUUGUUAAGUCAGAUGUGAAAUCCCCGGGCUCAACCUGGGAACUGCAUUUGAAACUGGCAAGCUAGAGUCUCGUAGAGGGGGGUAGAAUUCCAGGUGUAGCGGUGAAAUGCGUAGAGAUCUGGAGGAAUACCGGUGGCGAAGGCGGCCCCCUGGACGAAGACUGACGCUCAGGUGCGAAAGCGUGGGGCAGCAAACAGGAUUAGAUACCCUGGUAGUCCAGCGCUGUAAACGAUGUCGAUUUUGGAGGUUGUGCCCUUGAGGCGUGGCUUCCGGAGCUAACGCGUUAAAGUCGACCGCCUGGGGAGUACGGCGCAAGGUUAAAACUCAAAUGAAUUGACGGGUCAUAGCUGUUCC
rnacentral:rRNA from 1 species